rnacentral:rRNA from 1 species
GUGAACAACGAAGGGCGCGCGGUGGAUGCCUAGGCUCUCGGAGGCGAUGAAGGACGCGAUAAGCCGCGAUAGGCCACGGCGAGGUGCAAGUAACCCUUGACCCGUGGAUUUCCGAAUGGGGCAACCCGGCCGUCUAGAUGACGGUCAUGCAGUAAUGCAAGCGAACGCGGGGAACUGAAACAUCUCAUUACCCGCAGGAGAAGAAAACAAAAUGUGAUUCCCCCAGUAGUGGCGAGCGAACGGGGAAGAGCCCAAACCGUUGCCGUUUCGGCGACAGCGGGGUCAUGGGACCGCGAUAUUCGACGGAAGACGAAGUGCAAUUACCUGGAAAGGUAAGCCGUGGAGGGUGACAGCCCCGUGCACGACACCUCUUUCGAAGAUAGCGGGAUCCCGAGUAGGGCGGGACACGAGAAAUCCUGCCUGAAUUCGCCAGGACCGCCUGGCAAGGCUAAAUACUCCCGAGAGACCGAUAGUGAACCAGUACCGCGAGGGAAAGGUGAAAAGUACCCCGAGCAGGGGGGUGAAAUAGACCCUGAACCCGCGCGCCUACAAGCGGUCGGAGCCAUGAAAUAUGGUGACGGCGUGCCUUUUGCAUAAUGAGCCUACGAGUUAGUCGUCACCAGCGAGGUUAAGGGCUUCAGGCCCGUUAGCCGAAGUGAAAGCGAGCCUUAACAGGGCGUCGAGUUGGUGGCGCUAGACGCGAAACCUUGUGAUCUACCCACGAGCAGGUUGAAGUCGCGGUAACACGUGAUGGAGGACCGAACCGGUAAACGUUGAAAAGUUUUCGGAUGACUCGCGGGUAGGGGUGAAAGGCCAAUCAAACUGGGAAAUAGCUCGUACUCUCCGAAAUGCAUUUCGGUGCAGCCUGUGAUGUUCUGUUCCAGAGGUAGAGCUACUGGUUGGACGCGAGGGCUUCACCGCCUAUCAAAUCCGGAUAAACUCCGAAUGCUGGAACACGAAAUCAUGGAGUGAGCCCGCGGGUGCUAAGGUCCGCGGACGAGAGGGAAAGAACCCGGACCACCGGCUAAGGUCCCGGAUGGACAGUUAAGUUGAUCAAACGAGGUGGGAUCGCGGAGACAGCUAGGAUGUUGGCUUGGAAGCAGCCAUUCAUUUAAAGAGUGCGUAACAGCUCACUAGUCGAGCGAUCCCGCGUGGAUAAUACACGGGCAUCAAACUGUCAACCGAAGCCGUGGGGUUAGUGAUGAGCUAACCGGUAGGAGAGCAUUCCUGCCAGCUUUGAAGGUCACCCGCGAGAGUGACUGGAGCGGCAUGAAAAGCAAAUGUAGGCAUAAGUAACGAUAAUGGGGGCGAGAACCCCCCACGCCGCAAGACCAAGGAUUCCCCGGCAAUGUCAAUCAGCCGGGGGUCAGCCGGCCUCUAAGGCUCACCCGAAAGGGGAUGCCGACGAGAAACGGGUUAACAUUCCCGUGCUUCUCGUCACCGUGACGCGGUGACGGGGUGAUGAAUGGACCGCGCGCUGACGGAAUAGCGCGUUGAAGGCCGUACCCUAUGACGGUGGUAGUCAAGCACGCCACCGGAGGCGAGAGCCGAUAGUACCACGAGACCCCGGUCGAGUGGAUAGCGUCCAGGCAAUUUACCCCCUAGAAAACCCGCUAAACUUCAAGUGACGAGGAACCGUACUGUAAACGGACACACGUGGUCGGGUAGAACAUACCAAGGCGCUCGAGUGAUUCAUGGUCAAGGAACUAGGCAAAAUAGUCCUGUAACCUCGGGAAAAAGGACGCUCUAGUGAUAGAGCCGCAGAGUAAUGGCCCAGGCGACUGUUUACCAAAAACACAUGGCUAUGCCAAAUCGAAAGAUGACGUAUAUGGCCUGACACCUGCCCGGUGCCGGAAGGUUAAGAGGAGAGCUCAUCGGAAACGAGAAGGUUUGAAUUGAAGCCCCGGUAAACGGCGGCCGUAACUAUAACGGUCCUAAGGUAGCGAAAUUCCUUGUCGG